UCCGAGUUGACCCCGGCAGUCUCCCAUGAGUCCCCGCCAUAACGCGCUGGCAACAUGGAACGAGGGUUGCGCUCGUUGCGGGACUUAACCCAACAUCUCACGACACGAGCUGACGACAGCCAUGCACCACCUGUACACCGGCCACAAGGGGGGCCGUAUCUCUACGGCUUUCCGGCGAUGUCAAACCCAGGUAAGGUGGGGAUGACGUGUCGCAACUAACCA
rnacentral:misc_RNA from 1 species